GGUUAAGCGACUAAGCGUACACGGUGGAUGCCCUGGCAGUCAGAGGCGAUGAAGGACGUGCUAAUCUGCGAAAAGCGUCGGUAAGGUGAUAUGAACCGUUAUAACCGGCGAUGUCCGAAUGGGGAAACCCAGUGCAAUUCGUUGCACUAUCGUUAACUGAAUACAUAGGUUAACGAGGCGAACCGGGGGAACUGAAACAUCUAAGUACCCCGAGGAAAAGAAAUCAACCGAGAUUCCCCCAGUAGCGGCGAGCGAACGGGGAGCAGCCCAGAGUCUGAAUCAGCUUGUGUGUUAGUGGAACGGUCUGGAAAGUCCGACGGUACAGGGUGAUAGUCCCGUACACCAAAAUGCACAGGCUGUGAACUCGAAGAGUAGGGCGGGACACGUGGUAUCCUGUCUGAAUAUGGGGGGACCAUCCUCCAAGGCUAAAUACUCCUGACUGACCGAUAGUGAACCAGUACCGUGAGGGAAAGGCGAAAAGAACCCCGGCGAGGGGAGUGAAAAAGAACCUGAAACCGUGUACGUACAAGCAGUGGGAGCACCUUCGGGUGUGACUGCGUACCUUUUGUAUAAUGGGUCAGCGACUUAUAUUCUGUAGCAAGGUUAACCGUAUAGGGGAGCCGCAGGGAAACCGAGUCUUAACUGGGCGUUAAGUUGCAGGGUAUAGACCCGAAACCCGGUGAUCUAGCCAUGGGCAGGUUGAAGGUUGGGUAACACUAACUGGAGGACCGAACCGACUAAUGUUGAAAAAUUAGCGGAUGACUUGUGGCUGGGGGUGAAAGGCCAAUCAAACCGGGAGAUAGCUGGUUCUCCCCGAAAGCUAUUUAGGUAGCGCCUCGUGAAUUCAUCUUCGGGGGUAGAGCACUGUUUCGGCUAGGGGGUCAUCCCGACUUACCAACCCGAUGCAAACUACGAAUACCGAAGAAUGUUAUCACGGGAGACACACGGCGGGUGCUAACGUCCGUCGUGAAGAGGGAAACAACCCAGACCGCCAGCUAAGGUCCCAAAGUCAUGGUUAAGUGGGAAACGAUGUGGGAAGGCACAGACAGCCAGGAUGUUGGCUUAGAAGCAGCCAUCAUUUAAAGAAAGCGUAAUAGCUCACUGGUCGAGUCGGCCUGCGCGGAAGAUGUAACGGGGCUAAACCAUGCACCGAAGCUGCGGCAGCGACACUAUGUGUUGUUGGGUAGGGGAGCGUUCUGUAAGCCUGCGAAGGUGUGCUGUGAGGCAUGCUGGAGGUAUCAGAAGUGCGAAUGCUGACAUAAGUAACGAUAAAGCGGGUGAAAAGCCCGCUCGCCGGAAGACCAAGGGUUCCUGUCCAACGUUAAUCGGGGCAGGGUGAGUCG
rnacentral:rRNA from 1 species